UACGUAGGGUGCAAGCGUUAAUCGGAAUUACUGGGCGUAAAGCGUGCGCAGGCGGUUGUGUAAGUCUGUCGUGAAAUCCCCGGGCUCAACCUGGGAAUUGCGAUGGAGACUGCACGGCUAGAGUGUGUCAGAGGGGGGUAGAAUUCCUGGUGUAGCAGUGAAAUGCGUAGAUAUCAGGAGGAAUACCGAUGGCGAAGGCAGCCCCCUGGGUCGAUACUGACGCUCAUGCACGAAAGCGUGGGGAGCAAACAGG
rnacentral:rRNA from 1 species